GGCGAGUGAACCGGGAAAAGCUCAAAUUUGAAAUCUGGCUGUCUUCGAUAGUCCGAGUUGUAAUCUAUAGAAGCGUUUUCCGUGCUGAACUGUGUCUAAGUCCCUUGGAACAGGGUAUCAAAGAGGGUGAUAAUCCCGUACUUGACACAACCAUCAGUGCUCUGUGAUACGUUCUCUACGAGUCGAGUUGUUUGGGAAUGCAGCUCAAAAUGGGUGGUAAAUUCCAUCUAAAGCUAAAUAUUGGCGAGAGACCGAUAGCGAACAAGUACCGUGAGGGAAAGAUGAAAAGCACUUUGGAAAGAGAGUUAAACAGUACGUGAAAUUGUUGAAAGGGAAACGAUUGAAGUCAGUCGUGUUCAUUGGAUUCAGCUAGUUCUUCUAGUCUACUUCCUUUGAACGGGUCAACAUCAGUUUUGUCCGGUGGAUAAAGGAUUUAGGAAUGUGACUCCCUCGGGAGUGUUAUAGCCUAGGUUCACAUACACUGGGUGAGACUGAGGACUGCAGCUCGCCUUUUGGCCGGGGUUCGCCCACGUUCGAGCUUAGGAUGUUGACAUAAUGGCUUUAAACGACCCGUCUUGAACACGGACCA
rnacentral:rRNA from 1 species